UGGUGGAGUGAUUUGUCUGCUUAAUUGCGAUAACGAACGAGACCUUAACUUUAAAUAGUCAGGCUAGCUUUGGCUGGUCGCAGGCUUCUUAGAGGGACUAUCGGCUUCAAGCCGAUGGAAGUUUGAGGCAAUAACA
rnacentral:rRNA from 1 species